rnacentral:rRNA from 1 species
CCUACGGUGUGCUGCAGUCGAGAAUCAUUCACAAUGGGGGAAACCCUGAUGGUGCGACGCCGCGUUGGGGACUGAAGGUCUUCGGAUUGUACACCCCUGUCAUGUGGGAGCAAAUUAAAAAGAUAGUACCACAAGAGGAAGAGACGGCUAACUCUGUGCCAGCAGCCGCGGUAAUACAGCGGUCUCACGCGUUGUUCGGAAUCACUGGGCGUAAAGCGUGCGUAGGCUGUUUCGUAAGUCGUGUGUGAAAGGCGCGGGCACAACCCGCGGACGGCACAUGAUACUGAGAGACUAGAGUAAUGGAGGGGGAACCGGAAGUCUCGGUGGAGCAGUGAAAUGCGGAGAUAUCGAGAGGAACAAUCGUGGCGAAGGCGGGUGCCGGGACAUUAACUGACGCUGAGGCACGAAGGCCAGGGGAGCGAAAGGGAUUAGAGACCCCUGUAGUC